AUUGAACGCUGGCGGCAGGCCUAACACAUGCAAGUCGAACGGUAACAGGAAACAGCUUGCUGUUUCGCUGACGAGUUGCGGACGGGUGAGUAAUGUCUGGGAAACUGCCUGAUGGAGGGGGAUAACUACUGGAAACGGUAGCUAAUACCGCAUAACGUCGCAAGACCAAAGAGGGGGACCUUCGGGCCUCUUGCCAUCGGAUGUGCCCAGAUGGGAUUAGCUAGUAGGUGGGGUAACGGCUCACCUAGGCGACGAUCCCUAGCUGGUCUGAGAGGAUGACCAGCCACACUGGAACUGAGACACGGUCCAGACUCCUACGGGAGGCAGCAGUGGGGAAUAUUGCACAAUGGGCGCAAGCCUGAUGCAGCCAUGCCGCGUGUAUGAAGAAGGCCUUCGGGUUGUAAAGUACUUUCAGCGGGGAGGAAGGGAGUAAAGUUAAUACCUUUGCUCAUUGACGUUACCCGCAGAAGAAGCACCGGCUAACUCCGUG
rnacentral:rRNA from 1 species